CUACGGGUCGCAGCAGUUAGGUAUAAUCUACAAUGCGCGCAAGCGUGAUAGUUUGAGCCAGAGUGCGUUUCUAUUGAAAUGCUUUUGCCGAAUGUAAAAAGUUCGGAGAAUAAGGACUGGGUAAGACAGGUGCCAGCCGCCGCGGUAAUACCUGCGGUCCAAGUCGCAGCCACUUUUAUUUGGUCUAAAACAUCCGUAGCUUGCUUUGUAAGUUCCUUGUGAAAUAUUAUGUCUCAAGCAUAAUGCGUGCAAGGAGUACUGCAGAGCUAGAGAGUGGGAGACGUGAAGAGUAUGUCUAAAGUAGCGGUAAAAUGCUUUAAGCUUGGGCAGACUAACAAUAGCGAAGGCACUUCACGAGAACACUUCUGACAGUAAGGGAUGAAGGCUAGGGGCGCGAAAGGGAUUAGAUACCCCAGUAGUC
rnacentral:rRNA from 1 species